rnacentral:tRNA from 1 species
AGAAACUUAGGAUUAAUUUAAACCGGUGGCCUUCAAAGCCAUUAAAAAGAGACAAUCUCUUAGUUCCU